rnacentral:rRNA from 1 species
ACACAUGCAAGUUGAACGGGAUUUGUAUGGUGCUUGCACCAUGUAAUGAGAGUAGCGCACUGGUGAGUAACACGUGGGAACAUACCUUGAAGUGGGGGACAACAGUUGGAAACGACUGCUAAUACCGCAUAAUCCCUGAGGGGGAAAGAUUUAUCGCUUUAAGAUUGGCCCGCGGAAGAUUAGGUAGUUGGUGGGGUAAAGGCCUACCAAGCCGACGAUCUAUAGCUGGUCUGAGAGGACGAACAGCCACAUUGGAACUGAGACACGGUCCAGACUCCUACGGGAGGCAGCAGUGAGGAAUAUUGGGCAAUGGAGGAAACUCUGACCCAGCCAUGCCGCGUGAGUGAAGAAGGUUUUCGAAUUGUAAAGCUCUUUCGGAUGGGACGAUGAUGACGGUACCAUCUAAAGAAGCCCCGGCAAACUUCGUGCCAGCAGCCGCGGUAAUACGAAGGGGGCAAGCGUUGUUCGGAAUUACUGGGCGUAAAGGGUGUGUAGGCGGAUUUGUAAGAUAGUGGUGAAAUACCUGAGCUCAACUUAGGAAUUGCCAUUAUAACUAUAGAUCUGGAGUGACAGAGAGGAUAUUGGAAUACCCAGUGUAGAGGUGAAAUUCGUAGAUAUUGGGUAGAACACCAGUGGCGAAGGCGAGUAUCUGGCUGUCAACUGACGCUGAGGCACGAAAGCAUGGGGAUCAAACAGGAUUAGAUACCCUGGUAGUCCAUGCUGUAAACGAUGAAUGCUAGUUGUCGGCAAA